GCCGUCUAACGUUGGUGUCCUGGGUCAUCAGCCGGUUUAUGAUCGCAAUCACUUGAGUGUUGACGGCCUCGUUUUCUUGUUUUCCUACAGACUAAACAAAAUCUGGAAGUCACCACGAAGGAGAGAAUUCUCUCUGAUGAAGGCUCGAGAAUCUGGCCCUCGUGGCAGCAACUUUUUCUCUGUGAGAUAACGAACCCUCAUUCAUAUUUGUGCUCUUCGUUCCCUUGUGACAUUUCGGUAACAGAGGUCAAUACCCGAACUGCAAACAAAUUACAAGACCGCAUACUGCACUGCUGAGCUGUCCCUGGUUGAGCAUCACGGCUUGACUUUCCCUUCUGCCAAGUCUUGCUUCCUUCUCCCGGAGAAUACGGAGAGUGCGCCCUAAUAAACACUGAAAGCAAGUCCCCGCCGCAGCUCUUCUUGAAACUCCGCCACCUAAAGGAAUUUGGGAGAAUGAAGUCAACACACAAAGGGAAACGGAAACCAGAGGAGGAGGCUGGGUGUAGUCAACCGGUGGGCCAGCGCCAGUGCAGGCAUCCGGCGGUUUGGCUGUGUGAACCAGAUGGUUUACAUUUGAAAAUGUUCUGUUUCAAGGCUGGUUUGAGCUGGCUCUUCAAGCAGAAAAGUCCCGCCUGGUAGAAGAGACAUCUGCACAAACUCCUGGUGUUGUGCCCAGAUUUCGGAACCCCAAAAGAACCCAUCAACAAGGAGACGACUC